GCAUUGGUGGUUCAGUGGUAGAAUUCUCACCUGUCAUGUGGGAGGCCUGGGUUCGAUUCCCAGCCAAUCCA